UCAAAUUCCAACGUGGGCGGGCUAGGUCUGUGUUGGCCUUUGCACCCUUAUCUACUGUCAACAUGCUUGCUUAUUCACAACAGUGCAUAUAUUCUGAUACUCACAGUCUGUUCAAGAGGUGGAUCAAAGAUUUUGAAAACGAUGGAACAACAACACAUGAUGAAGGACACUACUUCACAUGCACAAGGUGUCGAAAGAGGAGUGGGGCUUCACGCCACUGCACCACCCCACCUGGAUCAUCAGUGAGUACACACUAUAUGCAGGAAAGUGGCCAAGUUACUCCUUGUUUGCUUUCAAAAUAGCAGGAAUUUAUCCAGGAUUCCUAACUAAAUGCCCUUGGCAGAGAAUUUGGGGGAAAAUCUGUUUUUUUGCAGAACUUAGUCAAUGACCCCAGAGACCAUAAAAUAGAUAUCUGGUGAGCCCUACAAAGCCAUAACAUUAGUUAUUACCAUAUAACAUGAAUUGAGAAAUUUGUAAUUCCAGUUUGUGAAUUUUGACUGACAUUUGCUGCAGACUUGCUGCCACAUACUGGCCUCUGAGCAGGUCUAGAUGAACCCUGCAUAGUCUGGUGUUGGAAGACAUGCCAAGUGAUGUUGAUACAGUGUAUAAACUGCCUGCUAACAGUGCAUUGUUCCUUGUGAUUUGGAUAUGUGCCAUGCAUAAAAAGUUGAACAAUGUAGCAUUAUGUACAGCACAAACAGGACAUACUGUUAGUAUACUCAUGGUACUUAGGCAAAUGAUAUCCUUGUAUUGGUGUACAAAUAUAGUAAGGAAUAUUAGCUAUCGGAAUAUAUACUAUUAUAUGGCCUUGAAAAAUGUUGUAUCUCUGUUUACCUAACAAAUACAUUUUGUGUGCCUACCCUGACAAUCAUAUUGACUUUCUUGUCAAGAGUCAGUGUGUGGGUCUAUGUCUGUGUGUGUGUGUGUGUGUGUGUGUGUGUGUGUGCAUGUGUGUGUGCACUGUUAUUCAUGGCAUUUUUUUAUUAAUGUUGUAGCCUUAUAUCAUGCUAUCCGACACCAGGAACAGGAUUCAGAAAGAAAAUCCAGGUAAGGGAGAUAACUUGGGUGAUCUGCACGUGAUCCGCUAUUGUGAUCUUAUGGGACAUGUGACAUGCAACACAUUAGGGGCAGCCAAGGAACAGAUGCAUAUUAGAAGUCAACUGAAAUAACAUUUUAAGCAGAAAUAUUUUUGAAAGGUCUAGAAUAUGAACACUGUUAGUGAUGCUUCAACUAACCUAUAAACAAAUUAAAGUUAACCAAUUGUGGUGCUAUACAUAUUGUCAGAUUUUCUGUUUUAUCAUGGUUACAGGCCUUGAACUUUCUGAGAAAUAUACCUUCCACUCUUUAAACCAAAGAAAACAUGAUUUUUAUCCCACGAAUACAGCUCAUGUUUUAGUGUCACACAUCCCAAGUUUCAGGUUUAUCCCUCCAGCUGUUGAGGUGAGAAAUUACAGGUCAACAGAUGGAUGGACUUGAUACAUGAGCUGUCUUGGACCUUCAACAUGUUCAAUCCUGGUGAUCUAGAAAAGAUCGGGCUGGGUUUCUUCAUAAAGUAAGAUGACCGAACCCUAACAGGGCCUCUGAAGUUAUGCCAGAAUAACAAUAUAACUGCUGUGUUCUGUCAGUAACUUACCCGACGCAUUGAGCUUGCCGCCUUCGAACCAUUGUAUUUUUCCAUCUGUCAU
rnacentral:lncRNA from 1 species